GAGGUUGUGGCUCAGCGGUAGAGCGCUCGCCUAGCAUGCGCGAGGCCCUGGGUUUGAUCCUCAGCACCACA
rfam:Ictidomys tridecemlineatus contig094651, whole genome shotgun sequence.